rnacentral:rRNA from 1 species
UACGAAGGGGGCUAGCGUUGCUCGGAAUUACUGGGCGUAAAGGGCGCGUAGGCGGCACUGUUAGUCAGGCGUGAAAUUCCUGGGCUCAACCUGGGGACUGCGCUUGAUACGGCAGAGCUUGAGGAUGGAAGAGGGUCGCGGAAUUCCCAGUGUAGAGGUGAAAUUCGUAGAUAUUGGGAAGAACACCGGUGGCGAAGGCGGCGACCUGGUCCAUUACUGACGCUGAGGCGCGACAGCGUGGGGAGCAAACAG